UAUUGCACAAUGGGGGAAACCCUGAUGCAGCGACGCCGCGUGAGUGAGGAAGUAUUUCGGUAUGUAAAGCUCUAUCAGCAGGGAAGAAAAAGACGGUACCUGACUAAGAAGCCCCGGCUAAUUAAGAGACAGCAGCCGCGGUAAUACGGAGGGGGCAAGCGUUAUCCGGAUUUACUGGGUGUAAAGGGCGCGUAGACGGAAUUGCAAGUCUGAUGUGAAAAUCCGGGGCCCAACCCCGGAACUGCAUUGGAAACUGUAUUUCUAGAGUGUCGGAGAGGCAAGUGGAAUUCCUGGUGUAGCGGUGAAAUGCGUAGAUAUCAGGAGGAACACCAGUGGCGAGGGCGGCUUGCUGGACGAUGACUGACGUUGAGGCUCGAAAGCGUGGGGAGCAAACAGG
rnacentral:rRNA from 1 species